CUCCCCAUGUUAGUCUGGCACGUGUGGGUUCCUCCCCAUGUUAGUCUGGCACGUGUAGGUAGCUCAGACCCAUCCUGUACUGGUCAUGGUUUGGCUGGUAUCAGACAGACAUGCAACCAUCCCAGGUUUAGUGUUCAGUACCAACCAUACAUAACACCAGCUUUAGUGUUCAAUACCAACCAUACAUAACACCAGGUUUAGUGUUCAGUACCAACCAUACAUAACACCAGGUUUAGUGUUCAGUACCAACCAUACAUAACACCAGGUUUAGUGUUCCAGUACCAACCAUACAUAACACCAGGUUUAGUGUUCAGUACCAACCAUACAUAACACCAGCUUUAGUGUUCAGUACCAACCAUACAUAACACCAGGGUUAGUGUUCAGUACCAACCAUACAUAACACCAGACUUAUGUCACAAGGUUGUUGUUGGAAGUAGUGUGUAAGAAAUAACUACAGCUCAGAUGUUUAUGGACAGUGAUAGAUUUCUUACCAUAUCUUUUGUACCUGUGAUCAACAUGCAUCAUUUUAACCAGCACAAUGUACCUUUAGUAUGAUUGGGACAAAUGUUUUGUAGUCUUGUAUAUACGGUUAACCUUUAUUUUAGACAUAGUGGUGUAUAUUUUCCUGUCAUCAAGACAAGCUAACUUGGGAUGAGGUUGGGAGUCAGGGUAGCUGUAGUAAUUGUACUUAAAUGUGAACAUGUUGUGAGAAGUAGGAGUAAAUUGUGUAAUAAAAGUAAAAGUGGCUCUCAUAGAGAUAAGAGUAGGGCUAAGAUGUGUUUGCUUUUUAAAUGCCUGUAAAUUGCAUAUGGUUUGAUGAUUUACUGAUUGUGACUAAUGACACCCAUACUUUUGUAGAAGUAAGACACGGGAAGCGCUCCAUUCCACCAGGUGAAAUGAAACAUGCUCUUCCCACAGUCAUCACAUCAGAUAAGAGGUCAGGAAAUCCUGAUGUGAUAAUUAUGCUCUGAAGGGUCCUUAUUCUUAAUCAUGCAACAAAAUUGACAUUGGCAAAAAAAGCUUGAAGCUGAAAUUUAUGCAUGACUUAUGUUCUUGCUUUUGCUCACUUUUUGUUUUGCCUUUAUUGACAAUAACAAUCGAAGCAGCUAAAAAUGUUGCUUACCCCAAUAAGGUGGUUGUUGUUGUCGUUAUCAUACACUAAGUGCAUUUUGUUUGGAGAGUACGACUUUUAAUGAUGUCCAAACAGCCUAUCAGUCAUGAGCCUGGCUCUAGCCACAGAAAUGUGGGCAUUUUCCUUUGUGUUCUGUAUAAUAUGUUUUCUGAGCUCCAUAAGUUCUCAUCAGAAAUGCCAAAGACUAUAAAAUGCAGCCUGAUGAUGUUCAGGCUAUUUCUGAGAAUAUGUUUGAGCAGAUUAAAGAACAAGCAAUGUGAAAAUAGUUGUAUGUAAUGUGUACUAUGUGAUGACGGUACGUAAUUGUCUUCAUUGACAGACAAAUGGCAUGUCUUUGUUUGGUCCAUAUCAAUUGAUUUGCUUGCUUCUGCAAUAGGAUAAUUGAGAAAUGGAAACGCAGGAACGAGAACGUACCAAUCAGAAUGGUUUGGUAGGUGGGAUUUGAAUAAAAUUUGCCUUUGAAAGGCAUGCUUGUUUUUAGCCAACUAGUGAAGAAGUUUUAUGGGGUGUAACAAUGUACAUUGGUAACAUUGUUGAAAUAUUAUAAGAUAUUGAUGAACUCAUUUUGCCUGAGUCAUAGUUUAUGAGAGUUCUAUAUGGCGGGAUGAAAUAAUAAGUUUUAUGUUUUAUACAAAUGUCAAUACGUGUAUUUAUUGUUAAAUAACUGUCAACCAGACCCCCUAAAACUCCUUCCAGCUGACUCUGUCCCUUUGAUCAGGUGAUUUAUUUAAAUUUGAUUUUAGAUACCUCAUUUUUGACAUGAGAAAUAUUUUUGUACAGGAAUGGAGUAAUCUCUGUUGCACCUGGAAAGAUAAUGUAUAAUGUAUUCCUGCUCUCUCCAGCAGCACACUCUUCAUAAUGUCUGAAACAACUGUCCUUUUGUAGCAGAUGGUGAAUAAAGUGUUGAUGGCUUCA